rnacentral:rRNA from 1 species
ACGAACGCUGGCGGCGUGCUUCACCCAUGCCAGUCGCACGGAAAGGCCCUGCUUGCAGGGUACUCGAGUGGCGAACGGGUGAGUAACACGUGGGUGAUCUGCCCUGCACUUCGGGAUAAGCCUGGGAAACUGGGUCUAAUACCGGAUAGGAGCCAUUUUUAGUGUGAUGGUUGGAAAGUUUUUUCGGUGUAGGGUGAGCUCGCGGCCUAUCAGCUUGUUGGUGGGGUAAUGGCCUACCAAGGCGGCGACGGGUAGCCGGCCUGAGAGGGUGGACGGCCACAUUGGGACUGAGAUACGGCCCAGACUCCUACGGGAGGCAGCAGUGGGGAAUAUUGCACAAUGGGCGCAAGCCUGAUGCAGCGACGCCGCGUGGGGGAUGACGGCCUUCGGGUUGUAAACUCCUUUCGCUAGGGACGAAGCUUUUUGUGACGGUACCUAGAUAAGAAGCACCGGCUAACUACGUG